AUUGGUUUUUCAUGGUUUCUUUUUGGGUUUUGAGGAUCUGGGUGUCUUAAUUUAGAUGAAGAAAAAAUGGGUUUUUAAUAGAAAAGGAAAUUGGGAUUAUAGAAGAUGGAUCUGGGUGGAGCUUGGGAAAUUAUGGGUGUUUUUGGUGUGAAAAAUGGGUUCUUUUGAGAUGAUUUGAUGGAACUAGCUCCCAUGGAUCUGAUUCAAGUUUCUCAUUACAAUAUCAAUGAAACCCAGAAAGAAGAAAAAUUAAAAGUUAAACUAAAAAAAAAGGUACAGAAAAAGUAAAGCUUUAAUGUUAUGAAAAUAGCUAUGGAUUGGCUGCCUCUCUGCAAAAUUCUCUGAGAAAACGAAGAAGACAAAAAUUACGAACCCGAAGCGUCCUUGAAGCUUCAGUUAAAAUCAAAGGACCCCCUUGGUGAUGCGAGCUAACUCCUCCAACCACCGCUGCAAGCGAAGAAGACGAAAGACAAUCUGCCACCGCAUGACGCAACGGCUCCGGUGGCUUCUUAAGCGACGAAGAUCUAAGCCUCGACACUCCACUGCCUGCUCCUAACUGAAGCAUUGAACUCCCGGGCUCCGAGCUGGACUGAAAGUUGUAGCCAUCGGACUUAGGUUGCACUCUGAAUCCACGCACAACCGUCUGUCAAACUUAACUCCAAUUUAAAAAAAAAAAAACAAAGAGUUUUUAAGCAAUUAAAAUCUUGUUUUUCCCCCUCAAUUCAAUCGUUCCUACAUUUCAACAGAGAACAAAGAAAGAGAGAAAGAGAGAAAUUUGUGGAAGAUUCAAAAUCUUAUUUAUUCUGAGAGUAAAAAAAAUGAAAAUAGAAGAGGGAAAACUGGGAGGAGGGAAAGUGGGAAAAAAAGAGAUUUUGAAUCUUUUGUGGCGUUUUUUUUAUAGAAACGCCGCAAAACAUUAUUUCAUUUUGAACAAAACGACCCCGUUUUACUCAGUUAAAAAUAUUUUAUUUUGUCUACUUGAACAAAACGACCCCGUUUUACUCAGCUAAAAAUAUUUUAUUUUGUCUGCUAAAAAUUAUUAGUUAAGUGAUUUUAUAAAAUAUUUAUUAUUAUUAUUUUUUAUAAACUUGAUUUUUAUAAAAAAAACAAGUACUUUCAAAAUAAAUAUCGUAUAUUUUAAUAAGAAAACAAAUGAUUAAAUGGUUGUAUUUAAUUAUUAAGUUAGAAUUAUCCAAUGUAAGAUUAGUUAAUCAUAAUUUUAUAUUAUUCUUUUCCAAUCUAAUCUCUAUUUUAUUAGAGAUAUUUCUUCCUAACUAAAAUAUAACUAUAUAUAUUGCUAAAUGUUCGAUGUGAAAUGAUUUUAGUUUUUUUAUUUCAUUUUUAUUUGUUAUAAUUUAGUCCUAUCGAAAAUAGAUAGUUACCUAUCCAUAUCAAUUACUUUUUAUUUAUUUAUUUAUCAAUGUUUUUUUUAAAUCUAAUAUUUAAAUAUAUCAAAUGGUUUAUAUUAAAUAUUUUUAAAUAUAAAAGCAUUAAUUGGUUGAAUAAAAUUUCAUCAUUUAACAAAUCUCAAGUAAACCUUAAAUCCUAAACCAUUUAAUAUAUAUAAAUUCAAAAAACUAGUUAAUCUAAACCCAAAACCCUAACCCGGCCCGAAUCUCUAAACCUUAAAUCACUAACCACAAACCCCUAACCACAAACCUUUAACCCCUAACUACUAACCCCUAAACCUUAUUUAAUAUAUAAAUUAAAAAAUACUAAUUAAUCUAAACCUUAAAUCCCAACCCGAAUACCUAACCCCUAACCCCUAAACCUUAUUUAAUAUAAAUUAAAACACACUAAUUAAUCUAAACCCUAAACCCUAACCUGACAUCGAAUCAAUGAACCCUAAAUCCCUAACUCUUAAUCUCUAACCCUUAAUCCCUAACCCCUAAAUCACAACCCUUAAACCAGAACCCCUAAUCCAUAGUCCCUAAUUCCAUAAUCUAUAAACCUUAAAAUUCUAACUCCUAAACCGGCCUUAAAUCCUAAAUUAACCAUACCUCCUAAACCAUAUACCCUAAAUCAUAUAUAUUAAACCCUAAACUAUAAUGACAAUUACUUAAAUAUUUUAAAAUUAAUACUACCGUAUCUUUUACAAUUAUAUAUGAAAUUAUUUAAUAUAUAAAUUAAAAAUCAAUCAGUCAUGUACCCAAAAAAUUUUAAAAUUAUUUUAAAUAAUAGUAUUUUAAUUUUUCCAUUUUUAACAAAUAUUUUUCUAUGUUUUUUAUUUCAAUUUAUUUAUAAGUGUCAUUAUUUCAAAUUUAUCCAUUUUUAACAAAUUUUCAAUUAAAAAUAAAUUGAAUUUUAAUUAAUAUAAAUAAACAAUUAAAUAGUAAUUAGACAGAUAAAAUGUUUUUGCGGCACUUCUUCAAAAACGCCGCUAAAGCCAAGAGCAUUAGCGGCGCUUUAUCAAAAACGCCGCUAAAGCCCAGAGCAUUAGCGGCACUUUACCAAAAACGCCGCUAAAGCACAGAGCAUUAGCGGCGCUUUUCCAAAAACGCCGCUAAAGCCUCGAAUGGUCUGAAAACGAUGCCGUUGGGCUUAGGUUUUUUGCGGCGUUUUCUCAAAAAACGCCGCUAAUUCUCAUUUUUAGCGGCGCUUUCCCUAAGGCGCCGCUAAUGCUCUAUCUUUAGCAGCGUUUUACGUAAAGCGCCGCUAAUGCUCGAUUUUUAGCGGCGUUUUGUAUCCAAACGCCACUAAAACUGCCGCUAAAAGCCUGUUUUGGUGUAGUGUAACAUAAAAAAAAUAUUUGGCAUAUGCCACAUAUGUGGCCAAUAAUCUUUCAUAUCACAUUGAUAGCAUCAGUUAUCUUUACCCUUUUAAAAGUUAUCUUGAGAACUCUCAUUGUUCUCUUAUUUAUUAUUAUGUUUCCACUUUUAGUGGUCCAUGAUUGUAUCUUUUAUUUUUUUUAUGUUUGCAUUCACUUCGGAGAAUGCAACAAAUCUAGUAGGACAGACUUCCAAACGCCUCCAUUGAUUCUUUAUUUCAUAAUCACCAUCGCAAACAUACGUAGAUUUCAAAUCAGAAUCUAUCUAUUCAUGUUGUCAUGGUUAGUCUUUAAUUAUAAUAAACAUGAUAUAAUAAAUAAGUCAUAAUAAAAUAUACCUGAAGAUUUUUAACAUCAUUGUCACCACCUUGGUUAUUAUUAGGAGCACUAUUACAAGUACUAAAAUAACUAUACUUUCAUAAGAACAUACCACAUAUAAGUUAUAAAAUCUUAUGAUGCUCUAAUAAAUUAUUUGUACUUUAUAAUUUAAUCUAAAAGUUAUUAUACAAUCAUUCAACUAUAACAAAUUAAUGAGUAAUUUAGAUUCUAUUGAAUUUCCCUUUUUCCCUUUAAUCAAAGGCAAAUUGAUUAGUAAUACUCUCUCUCACAAUUUUAAUCAAAUUUCAAGCAUAUUUAAUGACAAUAAUUUAAUCAUCAAAAAAUUUAAUCAUCCAAAUAUCAUGCAUACUAUAAUUUAAUAAAAUAAUCUUAGUUUAAAAGAAACAUUAAAGUAAUAAUAUUUUUUUUGAUAAAAUAAUUUUACCAAAAAUCAAUCAACAAAGGAAAAAAAUAUACCACUUAAGGAUUAUAAAAAAUUUCUUUGUAUAAAAAGGCAUAAAUUGUUUUUAGAGAUUUAUGUGUACCUCGGUGGUUAAAAGCUUUAAUGAUUACCCAUAGUGUGUAAGCCUCAAUUGAAAUAGCAACAACUCUAGAAGGCAAUCGACAAUAGCAAAUAUUGGGAUAUUUUUGUAACUUUGGAGAAAAACAAUUAAAAGAGAAUCGUGUUGAUAACGUGUUAUAAAAUAAAAGAUAGAGAAUAAAGAACAAAGAGAACGAAAGAGCAAAGAGAGAGUGUAUUUUAUUGAUCAAUCGGGAAUAUUGACAAUUCUUCUCCAAAGUAUUUAUUUAUAGGCAUAAGAAGUAUAAAGAAGUAGAGAUAUACUUCUAAUGACUAUUAGAAUUUAAAGUAUAUCAAAAUAAAAUAUUCAUAACAAAAACUUAAUUAACAAGGUGGAUGGUUUACAACUAGCCUCCACCACCGUUUGACAUUUAGAAAGUGGUCUAAUUACUCAAUUGGUCUUUUAAUUAAUUAAUUGAGGUUUAUUUAAUUAAACCUUAAUUAAUUAGGGCUUAAUAGUAAUUAACCCAAAAGUUAAUGGGAUUUAAUGACAUUCACGACGUCUUGGACUUUUGAAAAUGGUCUAUUCGUCAUUUUGAUCCCUUAGCUAUUUAAAAUCUAUAGCGAUUAAAUUUUAUCACUUUUAUAAUUUAGUCCUUUUUUUCUUAAUUAACUAUCAUAGACAUAGGUUCCUGGGUCUUUCAACUUUGGAGGCAAUUUAUUUGUCAGCAUGUUAGUGCACCCUACGGUGAGUGCGACUGUUUCAAAUUCUCCCAAUUGUCUCACGAUCCAUGCGGCCUUAGACAAUUUGUUCAUCCAAACUCGCUUAAGUCAGCCUUUACUCAAGUGAGGAUUCCUUUAGAAGUCCUCCAAGGCACCAAUUUGUAUAGCGGAAGCGAUUUAUGCCAAAAGAAGCAAUAAAAGAACAACAAAAAGAAGGCACACAAGAUGUUUGAGUAAAUGCUCUCAAUAUUCUCUUAUUCACAAAGAAUAAUGAAAUAAUGAAUGGAGUGAGUACAAAUGAGGGGGAGGCUCUCUAUUUAUAGUUGUGCUCUCCCAAAGUUGACGGUCAAGAUACAUUUACAUUGACGGACGAGGUUAACUAUAUCCCUUGAUUUUAGGGAUUUACAAGAUAUGUCAUAUCAAAUCUAAUCUAAUAUUUACAAGAUAUGAUUCUAUCAAUCUUCUAGAUUAGUUACCAACACAGCCUAAGUUGUCAUAUCUUCAUUAUUGGGCCAACCAGGCUUCAAUCUGACAAGCUUCUCUAACUACUUACCGAAUCGGGUCAGUUCUUGCGGGCCAAAUGAUCCCCAUCUACACAAUACACCUCCAUCAAAUACAUUUGGUAUGAUAGUCACGGGCUUUGAACUGCGGCCCAUGACAUUCUCCCCCACCCAUUCUCGCAACGCCCUCGUUGCGACUUCCUAAUGGUACUGGCUUGAUUUGCCUCAGUCUUGUCUCGAUGGCUUAGCUUUUUCCUUCUUUCGAGACUUUUUCCUCGGUUUACGUCACUUCUUAACUCAAAUAGUCCUACUUGUUGCAUUUACUCUAGUCAACUGUUCAACUUGCAUCACUUCUUUUCCCUUGAAGUCUGAUGCACCACCCACCUCUCCCAUAGGUGGAAGCCUUGUCAAUGACUUGGCCAACUCCGAUGCUUCACUCGAAUUCAGCCUCAUUGGUCCCAGCUUCACUAUUUUCAUCGCAACUUUUUCCCCUAAGUUUGAUGACAAACUCACCACUUCCUUGGGUGGAAGCCUUUCCGAUGACUCACCAAGCUCAGACGUUGUCUUUCCUUUUACUACGGCUUGCUUUGGACAAUUCCGUAGCUUAUGUGAACCACGACACAAGAAGCACUUUACUCGCUUCUUUUUCUCCUCUUUGCCCUUUUGGCUUCGACUUUUCCCUUGCUCGAACCAAGCUUCUUGGGCUCCCUGUCUGCUCCAUCGUCCCUUCAAUGAUAGACUUCUUCGGACACUUCCGCAACCUAUACAGACCAUGACAUAAGAAGCACUCCAUUGGCUUCUUCUCACAUUAGGCCUCAUUGGCUUCGAUACCCCUUGCGCUUAAACCAAGUACCAAGGCCUUACCCACCAGCUUCUCCUUAAACGCGGAUUGCUUCGGACAUUUCUUCAACAUGUGUGGACCAGUGCAGAGAAAACAUUUCAACUUGUCCCUUUUCCUAUUGGGUUUCUUCUUUCCAACUCGUGGUUUCCCAUUACCACUAUUGUCGCCAAUGCCAUUGCCAUCAUUAUCUUCCUUGUGAUCCUUUUCAGAUAUGCCCCUUUCCUCGGACUUGGAAGACCCAAGCUUGUCUUUCCCUAGGCCAAGCUUGACCACAGAUUUCGCUAUCGUCAUGGCUUUUGGCAGCUUUUGGACACCUCUUUCGGCUUUGGGACAUCCUCGUAUCUAAGUGCUGCACUUGACACUCCUUCCCUAAAGGCUACUCGACACAAGGCUAGCUUUACCUCGAGCUCCUCUAUUCAUAUGCUCAAAGCCAUUGUCGUGGCCAUUGUUUCCUUCUUCAAAGCCAUCAUCAUGGCCUCAAGAGCAUAGUUUCUCUCCUAUAACUUAUCCCUGUGUGAAUUAAACAACUCGUUUACCUUAUCUAUGGUGGAAUCAAGAGACAUAUUUACAUAGUCUCUAGAUUGCUUCUUCCAGUUGUUUAUGCGAUCCUCGACCCUAUCAAGUGCCUCCUUUACGUCCUCAAUGGUUCCCACGAGUUUACCCACACGUUCUUCUACUAUCGACAGUGUCUCCCUCAAAGACUUUCUAGCCCACAUUUGUUCGAACUCUUCUUUUGACAUCCCAACGGUGCCUUCGAACCAAUAGCUCGGAUACCACUUGUUACAGGGAUAGAUCUUUCAUCUCGUAAUCCGUGCAGCCUUAGGCAAUCUGUUCAUCCAAACUUGCCUAAGUCAACCUUUACUCAAGUGAGAAUUCCUUUAGAAGUCCUCCAAGGCACCAAUUUGUAUAGCGGAAACGAUUUAUGCCAAAAGAAGCAACAAAAGAAUAAUAGAAAGAACGCACACAAGGUGUUCGAGUAAAUGCUCUCAAUAUUCUCUUAUUCACAAGGAAUAAUGAAACAAUGAAUGGAGUGAGUACAAAUGAGGGGGAGGCUCUCUAUUUAUAGUUGAGCUCCCUUAAAAUCGACAGUCAAGAUAUAUUUACAUCGACGGAUGAGAUUAACUAUAUCCCUUAAUUUUAGGGAUUUAUAAGAUAUGCCAUAUCAAAUCUAAUCUAAUCUUUAUAAGAUAUGAUUCUAUCAAUAUUCUAAAAUUAGUUACCAAAAUAGCCUAAGUUGCUAAAUCUUUCUUAUCAAGCCAACCAGGCUUCAAUCUGACAGGCUUCUCCAAAAGUUUACCGAAUCGGACCAGUUUUUGCGGACCAAAUGAUCCCCAUCUACACAAUAGACCUCUAUCGGAUGCAUUUGGUAUGAUGGUCACGAGCUUUGAACUACGGCCUGUGACACUAGCAUGGUCUCUUAAAGAACAAGAAAACAUCUUGAGUUUUAAGGCAUCUUCAAGGACACCUUACUGUCUGAAAGAAUUGUAGACCUCUAAGAAAAUUCGCAAGUGAAAUCUAGGAUCUUCAGUUAGCACACCACCAAACUGACCAAUUGAUUGAAGCAUUUGAAACAUUAUACGUUUCAGCUCAAAGUAAGGAGCUUGAAUUUGAGGCCUGACUAUUCCAGGAUUUAGGUAAUCUAAAAUAGGAACUACAUGCUCUCAAGUUGGCCUAUCACAAUCGUCAAACAUCUAAGCAACCUAAGGAUUACCAUUGCUAGCUCCCGGAUUAAGUAGCUCAUUCAAACCAGGUUGAUUGUUACCACCUUAAUUUAUUUCUCUUUAUCGUCUUCUCCUUUUUUUAUGGAUCUAAGGGAUAGAGCUCUUCAACAUGAAUGCCUCUAUGCAUACAACUAGUAACAGACCUAUUGUAUAAUGAAAUAAAUAAAUUAACGGCUAAUAUAAAAUUUACAGUAACAAAAACUAAAGUUGCCAAUUGUUAAUCCCUGGCAACGGUGCCAAAAACUUGUCGUGUGUGAAUAUAAUGUGCGAAUUGUGCAAGUAUACAUAUUGAAUCAAGUAAUAAAGUAAUGAGUGAGUAUCAUUCCCACGAGGAUUGAAUUAAUAUUCUUUGUCUAAAUUAUCACAAUUGAGUAGAAAAGAUAAAUGAAUUGAAUGAUAUUUUGAGAAAUAACAAUGCAAUUAAUACGCUAAAAGUGAAAAUAAUAAAAUGUACUAUCGUAGAUUGCAUUUGCAAAAAAUUGAAUAAAAGCACUAAGGAUUCUAGCAAAAUUGGAAUAUUGAUUGUAAAGGCUGGAUUACUAAUGAACUAAUAACCCGGGAAAAAUGCCAUGUAAAAAAUAUGUAACCUACUGCUUGAUUGGGUACUAACGUGGUCUACCUCUGUCGAAAGCAAGACCUAAAGCUGCUCACUUCUAAGACACUAUACAUCUAUAGACUAAGAAUUAGCAACCAUGAAUGAAGCACAAUCUUCUAAAUCAUAUAAGGUAACGCUCUCUUAUAUUACCCAGUUUUGGUCCAAGCAACCAAACUCUGUCGAUAUUAAGCUGCUUUUAGAUUUAUCAAGCAUUUAUCAUUGCUCUAAUAAGCAUAUAAACAUAAAUAAACAUUGGGUAAAGUAGUAAAUUGAAUCAUAUUCAUCCAUAAACAUUCAUUAGAGUUAAAACGUCAUCAAAAGUAAUCCUCAUUUGUGCUAAGUUAGCUCAUGACUGGGCUACGCAAAUUUAAGUAUUUUAAUGUCAUCAACAUCCUAAAAUAACAGUUUAAACUAGCAGAUUUAGAAAAAAUUAUAGAUAGAGAAAUUUGGGUUUAGAACACAAAUCCCACAACUUGGCGUCUAGUGCGCGUCUUCACCCAAGCUCCUAAUAGCUCAAAUUACCCUUAUUGUCAUAAAGAAACUCUAUCAAAGCUCCGUAUUUGCAAUCAGUCGUACCUUUCAAUUUUUUUUCUUGGUAGACCUCUCUCCUUUUUCUUUUAUACUUGGGUCCUCCUCUAAGGUAAAAGCCGUCAGCCAAUGAUUAUUUUUUCCCUAAUUUUGAGGUGGAUAUUUUCCAUUAUACGUGCAUGUGGAGGGCCAACUGCUGAAUGCUCUAAUUGAUGACUGGGUAUUUGUCGUUUUCUUCCUCAGCAUUACCAUGGCAAUCUCUCAUAAUGCCUUGGCAAAUCUCCAUCCUUUGUUAUAUUUCUUCCUCAAACUUGUCACCACAAGGCCUUUCCACCAACAAUUCAAAGUAUAGAUGCACUAAAGCAAUCACCAUUCCAAGUUUUUACAUAUAAUGCUCGAUUCACUAAAAAUAAUCAUGCAAUUACCUAAAAUGAAACUAAUUUUACUUAAGUACAAUCAGUUAACUAAUUCUAAAAGUAUAAAUUAUAAAUCUUUUCAAAAUUUAUUAGUACCCCUUUUCUCCUUUCUUAAUUCAGAAGAAACAAGAUAGGGACUUAUCUCUAGAGCUAAAAGGAUUUGCCUACCGCUCCUCUUCUUCCGAAGGUAUUCACAAGUCCACCGUCGUUGAGCUGACGAGUUCUUUCUCUAUAAUGGUUGCAGAGUGGGAACUUAUUAUUUGGUCCAUCGAACAGGCUUGCAAAGAGUUUGAGGUUUGUCAGGAUGCUUCUGAGAGAACUAUCCUUUUGGGAGAAUAGUCUCUCGCCCAUCUCCACCAAUCCUAUGAUGGCAUUGCUUUACAAAAUCACAAACUUACUCAAUCUGUCUCCCCAUCGACAGCCCAAGAGAAAGAGUUAGAAGAAAAAGUCCAUCAUUUGGAGACCCCAGAGAAACAACACAUUGCCAAAAAAGAGAAAAUACAAAAAGAGAGCAAUGCACUCUGGAAAAAUUUAUGGCAGAUACCAAAAAAGGUACUAAGUUACAUUUGCCAAUUUUAUGGUCUAGCUUAAUAAUACCCUUACAAGAAGCUAUGGGUCCCUUCGGUCUAUGCCACAUGAGCUUCAAAUGUCUGCGGCCUCUUGUCAAGACCAACCUUGGCUUCGGCGUCCUAAAUCCCAAAGAGGUUGUAUGGAGAAAAUUCCAAAAGAAAUGGAGGGAGUCUGGUUAACUCUUCUAUGACCAUGAUUCAAACACAUCUAACUCAGAUUCUUCGGAUGGUACUGCCUCAGAGGAUGGAACCUUCGAUGAGGCCUCCAUCUCUUUCGCCCAAGGGAAAACUAAUGUUGAGAAAGAGGAGAACACAUAGGGAACGACUGAUCCGCCAACUUUGGAUAUUUUUAAAUAUUUUUUUUUGAAUUUAUAAUAGUUUUUCUAUAGUAAUAAGAACUCCCACCUCUCUCUUUCAUUCUAUUUUGCUACAAUACAUUUUUCACCAAUCUGACUAUGAUCCGCCAUUCUUAUAGUUAUUCUCGUCACACUAUCUUAUAUCAAUUUUAGGGGGACUAAGCCAGAGCUAUUGCAACAUGUAUACAGAGGUUAUUUCAAAGUUUACUAUGUUUAAAGGAUCAACUAAAUCGUACUCUGAUACCACUCAAUUUGUAACACCUUAUACCUGACCCGAUCGCAGGGUUCAAGUACCAGAUGUUACACUAACCUGAAGUAAUUAACAAAAUUUCAGUUUCCAAUUUAUUUGCACACUUAAAUGACUCAAAUUCUUGAAAAUCUAGUUGUUAAUACAACUUGUACAAAACUAGUGAUAAAUUCCUAAGACUUUAAUUAAAACAAAUAUUUACAACUUUUGAAUUAAGGCUUGAUAACGUAUAUAAUUAACUUAGACCUUGAGGCAAGCUCUCCACAGGUGCCCCUCUAUAUACAUGGACAGCUACUGGGCACCACUUAACUUUGGCUGGGUCUUGCUUGGUCUCUCUUAAUUCAUCCAAGUCACUAUCUAACCUGUAUUCAAGCAGUAAUUUUAUAAGUACAAAAGAACUUAGUGAGAUCCGCAUAUAGAAUUUAAGAAAAAUUAGAGACUUCUGGCUCAAAAUUAAACUCCUUUAAUUUCGUAGGAGAAUUUCUGAACUUAAUUGUCAAGGCUCAUGCCAUACGAAUUCUAUGUUGUUUAUUAGCGGACUAGUCCUUAGUUUGAUCCUGACCAUGUUCACUCUUGGGAAUCACCCCAUUUCCCAUUUCCUAUUAUUCUAUCUCUCUGAUCCUCGUCUUCAUUAUUCUUGGCUGGCAACACUUAGUGACUAGCCAAGUAAUCGCCAUAACUGCUGUCUUUUCUAGAAUACAAUGUCCUCACUAACCUAGAGUGUUAGUGUCCACAACACCAUGUACUUGCUUUGUCAAUCCAUUCAUUAAAGAGGUUUCAUUAAACAUUCAGAUCCUACCUUUUGUAGAUCACCAAGAUCUUUAUUAUUUUUUUCGUGGUCCUAACAGAUCUCUAUUGUCCACUAUUCUCUAACGAGCUCUACUGGUUUUUUAGCCUUGAGCAAGCAUUUCCUGUCAUGAAAACUCCUAUCUUUCUAUAAAAAUUUCAACUAUUUUUUUACAUAUUGAUUUGUGACUGCAUCUUAAACAGCCUAAUCCAUGUUUGCUUAAACUGUAUGAACUCCACAGCUUCCUUGGCGGACUUGUUUUGACGUACAUUUUGUAUACCUUCUUAUAUAAUGAUUCUCUUCCUAUAUUCUACCUCACUAGUUCAAGACGUUUCCUUGGACCCACUCAUUACUGCUUUUAAUGAACUCUCACAUUGACCCAAGGGUCCAUUCCUUAGACACGCUAAGCUCAUUCAUUGCUAUGACUUACCAUACCCGUCACACUAGGAAUUCUACUUUCACCCUUAGUGUCCCUAAUGAAUUGUGGACUUUCCAAUUGUGCUUCCAAUAUUUAACAUCCUGUCAGGCUGACUCCAUUGGUUUCCGUAGUCGAGUUAUAGUCUUACACUUUUUAACCCUAUAUUUAUUAUCCUGACGAACUCCCUAUACAACCAUAUUCUAGAUAUGGUCUUACACAUUAAACCUCUUCUGUGGUGUCACCCCAUGGGACAUUACCACUGUUGCGAUGUCGCCCUAUAAAGCCUACUAACCACCGUCGUGUUGUUGCUCUAUGGAACUUAAUAUCUAUUGGUGCUCAAACCUUGAUGCUCAAACACCGUAGUGUCCCCUUCAAAAGGUCGGGAGCUUCAAACAUCACAGUUUGCACUCAGUAAUAUUAUAUAGCGAUAUCUAAUAGAAAUUCUCGUCCCCUAAGUCCUAACUUUAUCUGUCCCAUCAAUAAUUUCCCCACCAUGCUUCGCCAUUGAAAACAUAAAAUUCAUGCAUUCCAUACACACACUACACCAAUUAUUCAGACAUUGAAAUGUAACUAUCAAACAAACAACAAUCGUUCCUACCACAUUUGCAUACACUUAUUUAUCACUUUCCAUUCAAAAUCAACGUCCUAAGAACAAUACGUAACAAAAAAAGGUAUUUUGAUCUAGAGAUUAGCACGAUAAACCACCCAAAAGGUAGAGUACAGAAACUCACCUAGAUUCAUUUAUCUCCAUUAGCUUAGCUUGUCCAAACGCUAGAGCUUUUUUCGUCUUGGCUGCUAAGUAUGACAACCACUUAUUGGUUAAACUAAAAGUGUUCAACCCUUAAAAUCUAGAAUCCAUCAUUGUACAGAAGCUUUUAAGAAUUCUUACUCUAGCUCUUCCUUUAAUUCACGAGUUCAGAGGGGUAAGAAAGCUUACCAGUUCCUCACUUUCUUUACUACCAAACUUUAAUUCACACAGCUGCUGCAGCAUGCAGAGCUUCUUUCAGCUAAAUUCUCUCCUUCUUUAGAGCGACUGAAGAAGAUGAUACUUUAGAGUGAAAAUUUUGUAAACAAAAUUGAGAAAAUUGUAUCUCCACACACUCCUAUAUAUAUACACCUUUAGCACAAUUUUAACCGAUCGUCACUACCAUUCAUCUUUAAUCAUUUUAUCUCUCGCUUUGGAACCAACCAGUUCCAUCCUAACUGAACUAGGAUUGGGAUCUAACUAACCGAAAUUUGGCUACUAAAAUUUCUAAAUUUCCUGGUGGAGUCCAGAAAUUUACUAAUACUUUCAAUUUAGUCCUAACUUUCCUUAGAUUUUAAUUCAAUAAAGAUACCCGGGUGUUGCAGUGGAAGCCAUGAUAUCACGACGUCGACUUGAGAUUUUGAAUAUUUUGCAAAUUGGUCCUAAUUUUACCUUGAGUUAGCAGAAAAGCUUUCAUAAGCUCGUAUGGGACCUAAAAAUGAUUAUGUAGCAUAAUAGGAAUGUGAAUUAUACUUAAUUAUGUGUAUAAAUAGUUGUGUGAUUUAUAAUUUACUGUAGUUUGCUCCUACAACAAACGUAGCAUCUUGUAGCUUAGACCCUGGGAUCGGGUCGGGUAAAGGGUGUUACACCUCAUUACCUAUAUCAUUGUGAAUACAUGCACUUAAAAUAAUUGUAUACUUAUUACAUAGGGUUACUAGUAAAACAACUCCAAAAACUCCUUUCGAGUUAUGGGCUGGAAGGAAUCCUAGCCUAAGGCACCUACAUGUUUGGGGUUGCUAAACAGAAGCAAUAAUAUAUAAUCCACAAUAAAGAAAAUUAGACUCCCGUAUUGUAAGUGCAUACUUUAUUGAUUAUCUAAAGAAAAUAAAGGAUAUGGGUUCUAUGUACCAAAUCAUAGUCCAAGAAUUGUAGAAACCGGUAAUGCUAGAUUCCUUGAGAAAAGUAAAGUUAGUGGGAGUGUUUCAAAAAAAAAGUUGUGGAUAUAAAAUUAAAUUAUAGUAUAAUUUCCUACAAUUAUAAAUGGUCAUUUAUCUAAAACUACUACAAAUGUUGUUCCAACAAUUAACGAAUACUCUAAUAAUGUUGAACAACAUUUAAAUGAUGAAACACUAAUAGAGGAAACUGACUCACAAAAUUUUGAUGAAAAUGAACCACGAAUAAUGUCAUCAAGAAGAUCUCAAAUAAAGAGAAAAUCAACCAUUCCUAAUGAUUAUGUGGUUUAUUUGCAAAAGUCAGAUUUUGAUAUUGGAAACAAUAAAUAUCCAGUUUCAUUUUCAAAAGCCAUAAAUAGUGACGAGUUUGACAAAUGGCUAAAUGCCAUGAAAGAUGAGAUGAAAUCUAUAGAACAAAACAAACUCUAGGACGUUUUCAAAUUGCCAAAAGGUUCAAAACGAGUUGGUUGUAGAUGGUUUUAAAACCAAAAAUAACUCAAUUGGCAAUAAUGAAUUAUAUAAAGCUAGAUUUAUUGCGAAAGGUUAUAUUCAGAAAGAUGAUAUUGAUUAUAAAGAGACAUUCUCUCUAGUUUCUAGGAAAGGCUCCUUGAGACUUAUUAUGGCGUUAGUGGCUUAUUAUAAUUUAAACCAAAUGGAUGUGAAAACAACCUUUCUGUAUGAAAAUCUUGAGGAAAAAGCUUAUAUGGACCAACUUGAAAGGUUUACAAUUGACGGAAAAUGUCAUAUGGUGUCUAAACUUAAGAAGUCAAUAUAUGGACUUAAACAAGCCUUGCGACAAUGGUACAUUAAGUUUAAUGAUGCCAUAAUUUUUUUUGGUUUUCAAGAAAACCUUGUUGAUCGUUGUAUUUACCAAAAGAUUGAUAGGAGCAAGUUUAUUUUCUUAGUUUUAUAUGUUGACAAUAUUUUGCUCGCUGCAAAUGAUUUUGGUAUAUUGCAUGAGACGAAAGUUUUUCUAUCGAAUAACUUUGAAAUGAAGGAUAUGGGAGAGAUAUCCUAUGUGAUAGGAAUUGAAAUAUUCUGUGAUAGAUCACAAGGAUUGAAAUGUUAAAAGAGUAAAACUUCUUGGAUUUAUUGUGAAAUUGUGAUAAAUCUGGACUGAAUAGGGACUAUAUAGAAAUUGGCUAGCUUGUAUUUUGCUUAAAUGUGGAUAAUUCGUAAGUUUCAGGUUUAGGGACUAAUUGCAUAAAAAGGAAAAUGUUGAAGGUAAUUUUGUAAUUUUAUAUUAAAAGGGUUAUAAUCUUAAUUUUAAUUAUUUGAGAUGUUUGAAUUGAAUAAUUAAAUGAAAAAUUAUUAUUUAGAUCAAGAAACAAAUCAACCAGACUCGAAUUGCGGAAAAGCUAAAGUAAUGGAAUAGUCGUCGGCCUUGUUUCUGCAAUAGUUUUUGUCUAGGUAAGUUUGUAACUUGGUUAAAUUAAUUAGUUGUUCUUUUGGUAAUUUAAUAUCUAUUUAUGUAUGUUUAGAUUGAGUUCAUUGGCUUGAAAUGAAUAAGACCACAGUUGAAAGACACAAUGGCACUAUACCAGAAAUGAAUAAGACCAUAGUUGAAAGACAUUAUAGCAACAUGAUAGAAAUGAAUAAGACCAUAGUUGAAAGACACUAUGGCAUCAUUUCAGGUAAAAUGUAUCGGAUGAUAAAUGUGUCAUAUAAUAUGAAAAUGAAAUGGAUGUUUUGAAUUUCAUAUGUUACUGAUGAAUGUUAAAUGAUAUGGUGUGAUUACAAGUUUUAAAUGUAUAUGAACUCAUUAAAUUGUGAGAUUUGUGGUGUGUAUAGGAAUUUAAUGAAUUCACGAGCUAUUAAAUGAAUUUUAUACAUGAAUUUUUAGUUAAAUUCUAUUUGGUAAGUUUACGUUUAUGAUUUAUACGAGCUUACUAAGUACUAGUUACUUAUAUUAGUUGUUUUCUUUUUCUAUAGAUUAUCGAAAAUCUUGAUCGGUUGGAAUCAAGUCAAAGCACACAUACUAUCCACCCUCCAUCUUGGUAGAAGUUUUGGUCACUUUUGAGUUUGUUAUAAAUGGCAUAUGCUAGGAGCUUUUGGGUCAUUUUGCUAUAAUGAUAUUGUUUAACUUUGGUUAAACAUACUUAUGUAUAUAUCUUUGUUUUGGUUUGUACAUAUAUUUUUUUAUUAGUGUCUUUAGUUGUGUGGUUAUUGCUUCCUGAAAGUGGUUGAAAUAUGGUAAAUCUUGUGUAAAUAGAAGGGAUGUAAUGGCAUGUUUGAUAUGUGUACAAAGUAAGAUUUGUGACCUUUGAAUGUGCUUUUAGUUUGGUAUUUAAAAUGUGGUGCCAAUGAGGGCACAUUGGUUAGGCACUUGGUUGAAUAUUUUGGUAUGUUUUAAACUUGUUUGAAUGUGUUUUAAAGGCAUGUUAAUGGUUGAUUUUGGUUUGUCUUGGCACCUAAAGAAUUGAUAUAGUUUUGCCUUGUUUUGGAAGCUAUUUUAGCUACACAUGGCCUGGGACACGGGCUGUCACACGACCAUGUGCCACACACGGUCACACCACACGGCCGUGUGGACUAUUAAAUUUUGGUGCAAGUUUGACCCACACAGUCAUAGAUUGUUACAAGACCAUGUAACUCUAUUUCGAAUCACAAACAAUCUAGCACACGAUCUACGACACAGUCGUGUGACUCUAUUUCGAUUUGCACAUGGGCGGGCACACGGUCUGUGACACGACCGUGUGACCCUAUUUUCAAACUAUUCACGAUUUGGUCACAUAACCAUGUCUUUGAGCCACACGGCCUAGGCUAUGUCACAUAGCCUGGCCAUACGUCCAUGUGACCAUUAUUUUCAAGUUUUUCUACAUUUUUCUAUUUUGUUUCAAAUAAGUCUAUUCCUGAAUUGAUUUUUAGGCUUUGUAAGCUCAAUAUAAGGCAUGUAAUCGUAUAUAUACUAUGAAUUAUGAUUGGUUUUGAAUAUUUAGUAUUUAAUUAAAUAAUUGAAUGGUUUUCUACUGUCAUUUGAUUCGAUAUGUGCCGUAAUACUCCGUAACCAUAAUCCAGCGAUCGAAACAAGUUAGGGGUGUUACAGAAAGUUUAUGAUAUUGUGACACUCUAAGCUAAAUUAUGGUGUUUCUAAAAUAAAAUGGAUGUAUUUCUUGUUUAUUAUGAUUAUGUGCACAUAAAUUUUAAAAUAGGAAAAUAUUUAUAGUUAUUUACAGACUUAUUGUAUUGAGUUGUAAUAUUGUAGUUUACGGAAAGAAGUAUUUAAGUUAUAUACAACUACCGUAACUCGCAUUUUCAAUUCACUUUAAUCUGGUAGAUAUGAUGAGUGUUAUUUUCAUGUGUGCUCAAAGUUUAUUCUAUUAAAGAUAUGUUUUACCUCAUUAGGACAAGUGGAAGAAUAUAAAAUUUUUUAGUCCAUUAUUGUGGACCCAAUUAAGUCUAAAAUUAUGUGACUCAAUUUAAAGGGGAUAAGAGUUUUACUUUUAAUACAAGUUUAAUAUUAUUCAUUCAUUCAGUUACUUGAUAGACAUGCUAGAUUAAAAGUUGAUCAUUAUAAAGGGAUCCUUCCUCUACCUAUUAGGGUUAUACACACAAAUACACAUAAAAAUUAUAGUUUCCAUCACUCAGAAUUUGUGUAAUUAAGGGAAAAUGUUAAGAGAGAGAAAUCAAUUUAUCGAGUGUCCUUUGGCCAACUCCAAUUCUGCAUCAGGUAUUUCUUGAACUUGUAAAAUCAUAUUAUUCUGAAUAUACUAAAAUCAAUAUUUAUGCAGUAUUAAGGAUUUGAUUAGCAUAAUCUUAAGAUCAAAAGAUUUUUUUCAUAAAAUUUGACCUAAUUAUUCCAGAGCAACUAGAAAGAGAUUUUUAACCAGAAAUAAUUCAGCUCAGAUGUAAGAUAUCUAUGCAGAAGUUUUCGCAACUUAAUCAUGUAUGAUAAAAUCAUCAAAGAUUUGAUCUUUUCAAACUUUGCCUGUAACUCACUAUAGGCCCAGGAAACAAAGAGAAUGUAUGUACGAACAAGAUAUCCAACAAGAAGAAGAAGGAAACCAAUUAAAUAGAGAAACCUUCUAAACAUUUGGCGAUCUUAGAUGUGUCGAUAUCAAUGGUGACUCGUUAUUUUGAUGAAUCAUUUUUUCAGACAAAAGAAAAUUAUAUAAACACUUACUUGAAAUCUCACUUAUCAAAUUCCUUUGUGGAAGAUGCAUUUUUUUCUAAAGAAUUGGCUAUAAUAUAUUUGAUCCAUGCAUGAUAUCAUGAAAAAUAGAUACAAAUUUUUUACUGCUACUUAGUAUCUACAAGUUUGAAAAAAGUAUCUAAAAAUAUCUGAUUAAUAAAUAGUAAAACAUGAUAUUUGCCUAUCAUCUGAAAGUAAUGCAUUUACUGAUAUUAUUUUGGAUGAUUAAAAUAAAAUUAAGUGAAGAGGCCGAACAAAAUUUCUUCCCAAGUUGAUACUCAAAAAGAUAUAGAAAAGAUUUAACAUGACAGGAGCAAAAAAAUUUAAAAAUAUAUCCAUGGAUAAACAGUAAUAGUCCCGUAACAAAUACAAUAUAUCUUUUAAACACGAUUUAAAACCGAAGCCAAGUGAAGCUAUCUGAGUGAGAGUGAGAGUGAGAGUGAGAGUGAGAAUUUGUACAUUUAUUCCUUUUUCCCUUCAGCAGCAUAGAGUGCUUUGAUAUCUUCAACAUCAUCAAAGCUGCCAAGAAAUAUUGGAGAUCUCUCAUGUAUCUUUGUUGGCACCAAGUCAAGUGCCUGCAAGCAAGAACAUAAUCAAGUAACUAUGAGCACAAAAACAUCAUCUCAUACAAUCGUUGAAAAUGUUUUAGUUUAAAUACCCGUUGUUUUCCGGUGAAGGCCUGACCUCCGGCUUGUUCCAUCAGGAACGACAUUGGAAAGACCUCGUACAGAACACUGUUUCACACACAUUGCUCAAAUUUAGUAAUGAGUCCGCAAGUAAAAUAAUAAUAAUAAUAAUAAUAAUAAUAAUAAUAAUAAUAAUAAUAAUAGUGCUAUAUCCGUAAUUGCAUUUAAUAUACCGUAGUUUUCCACUGGGGCUCUUCUUAUCUGCAGGGUACAAAAAGAUACCCCCGUAGAGUAAUGUACGAUGGACAUCAGCUACCAUGCUGUUUCAUCACAAAACCAGAGUCCAUGUUAAAGAAACAAAUCUAGGACUAAUACCAAACAUACAUAUGUAGAUGUGAGAAUUAAUAUAGUCACUGUUGAUGAAUACUUGCCCAAAAACAAUGCACUAUCCUAGUAACCUAAUGAAAAACAUACAAGUGCUCCGAAAAAGAGAGUAAUUCAAUUACAGGUUCAUAAGGUCAGAAUUGUUCAAACUUCAAAGUAUUCAAUGAUAACCGGAAAUAAAACAGGCAGUAAGGAUAGAAUCCGUGAUACCUUCCAAUGUAUCUCAGAGACUUUGAAGAAGAACCAUCCUUGGGAAACUUGCACUUUUCCACAUACCUGAAGUUAAAAAGAAAAAGAAACUGAGACAACUGCAGAGAAAAAUAAGACAUUUCUGAACUGAAUUAAGACAUACUUGGCCGUUGGACCAUCCCAGUUCUUAGCAUUUCCUUCAUUAACUGAAUAGAUCUUCCCUUUCUUUGGAAUCUUUGAAAAAGACAUGAUAAAUCAAAGCUUGUAAGUUGUCUCAAACAAAUCAGAGUCGUUAUACAGAGACAAAAUCCGGACCUUAUAAAGUAACACAACUAAAAAUGGAACAUAUUAACCAUUUUGAUCAUGUUUUCUGUAAAUCAUGAAUGGUUUAAGAAACUACAGAAUUUCUUGUAAUUAUAAUUUAUAAUUUCGUAAACCAGAAGCAAACAAAGCUAGAGUCGUCAUAUUCAGUCCUCAGGUGAAAGAAGCAAAUCGAGUAAAUAGCUAAUCACGUGAUUAUUCCAAUAUUUACAUAAUGAUUAUACCUUUAUACCUGGGUGAGUUAGUAUGAACUCUCCAAGAGAUGGAUCAAGGGUGAAUCCGUUAACUCCUUCUCCGGUGCUCAAAACAAGCUGAAAAAUCAUUAUUACAAGUGCAAGGCAUAGUACAUAAGCAAUCAAUCACAUUAUAAUUUGAAAUAGGUCAACAAAUAUGCAAAUAGAAAUGAAAUUCCUUUUUAACAGAAAUGUAAUUUUAUCAUUACCCCAGUUCCCAACUCUCUUUGCAUGAGAAAAGAAAGUAAAAAGUAAUGAAAAAGGAAAAGAAUUAAAAGGGACAAACUAAAUGAAAGGGAAAUUUUAAUUAUCCCCAAAGAAAAACAAAGAGAAAACAUAAGUUCAUAGCAAAAGCUAGACAUAUAUAAACAAGUAAACAUUUUACCGUGCAAGAGCUUCCAUACAUGCAAUAGCCAGCUGCCAGCAUUUGCUUACCAGGUUGCAGUACAUCAUCUAGAGUUGGUUCAUGGUUAUCUUUCAUCAUGUAAAUCCCAAAAAUCUAGAUGAAAGAGAACACAUUAAGUUGACCACUGCAAUAUCAAGUUAUCUUAGAACAAUAAUUAUCCCCAUGAAAACAAAGUAUGGCAUUGCAUUUCUGGGUUUGGGAUGAGGAGCCAUACUGUUCCAAUGGAAACUCCACAGUCAAUGUUGGAGGAACCAUCUAGAGGAUCAAAAACAACACAGUACCUGCGUUACUUAAGAUAAAUUCAAAUCAAAUAUACACGAGGAAGAAUCUUAUAUAGACACAUUUAAUACAUCUAAAUAUAAUGGAAGUAACAUAAUGAAGAACAACUAAAAGCACCUCCCACGCUUUGAGGGAUCUACAAAAGUCGCCUCUUCAUCUUCUUCUGAGACAAGGAUGCACUGGUAUAACAUACAAAUAUGUUAAGAGAAAAUCAUAACAUCUCCAACGCUUACUAAAAAGUCAUCCAACUACUCACUGUUCUGCCACUGCUUACUAAAGCCUUGACAAAGACUUCAUUUGAAAGCACAUCCAAUUUCUUUUGUUCUUCACCCUUUAGUCAUAAUAGAUAACGUACUUAGUAUGAAAUAUUAAUACCAUAAAAGAGAAGCAAAUUCCAUAUCUGGCAUUUGGCAACUACUUGCCUGAACAUUAGUCUCCCCAGCGAGUCCGAUGAGUUUGGCUAGACCAGCCUGCACCAGUAAACGGCAAAUACAUUAAAAUCACCAAUAAGAAAACGACCGAUAAUAAAAUAAAUUUAUAGUUGAGACUGAAAAUAGAGACUAACUAUCCCAAUAGCAUAAUCUGAUAGAAAAAAUAUGACCCAACUUUUACUUGUUUAAACAGAACAUGACCCAGAGCUUACUUGGGAAAAGAAAUCAAAGGAGAAAAGGUUCAAAGAAAACCACAUUAAGAAGAAUAUAUAAAAGAGACCUUGUUAACAGCAGAGCAAACAAACUUGCAACCAAGAACGAUGUGAUUAAGCAAGAUGGUGAAAUCCCCACGAGACUCAGGAUGCUUGGAUUGCUCGUUCAACACGAAACGUGUUAUUGUCAUCAAAUCAGUCCUAUGAGCAUCUGCUGCAUGAUCCAUCUCUCUAAACCAAAAAACAAAAACAAAGAGCCAAAUAUUGAACGAAAGAAAAAAAGUGACCCAAUAAAGCAGCAAGAAAAAUAAUUUAUAUUGUUAUAUUAAUAUACAUAAGAAAAUAGAGUGCUGUUCUCGAGGUGCAGAGGAUAAAGAUUGUUUGAGGAGGGUAGUGGCCCGUGGGUGAUUGGUGGAGGGAGGGUUUAUCUGUUGGAAAUGGAAGUUUCGGGAGACACGUGGAGGGAUGAGAGGAGGGUAGCGAGGAGCGGUCGUCACUGAAGAUAAGGAGUCAAGGGUUUUCGUUUCGUUGUCUUUUUCUUACAGGAUUUGACGGUUAUCUGGUUUUUUCCUCGUGUUUUAUGUGAGGCGGACGAGGUAGCACAAGCGCUAGUGCACUAGGAUAUGCAUGAAACUUCAUUUUAUCUUAGAUUUUGUCAUUCGGCGAAGCCGAGAUUUAAACCACCUAUUAUAGGAUAAUAUUUUAUGGAUAUAUAAGUUUUAUAUACACUUAAGACGUCUUAUCAUUAAAAAAAUUAUUACAAUAUUUGAAGACUGGUGUAAGUUUAGUUACUUAUAAUUACAAAUUUUAAGGUAAAUUAGAGAAUUAGUCACCAAUUAUUAACGAAUUUUUAUUUUAGUCACCCAACUAUGAAAAUUUUCAAUUUAGUCACUAACACUUUAAAUCAUUUUUAUUUUGGUCAAUCACGUUUUAGAUCGUUUCUAUUUUGGUCACUCUUCGUUAAAUGGUUAACAUAAGUGAUGAUAUGGACUUCUUUUAACUGGUAUAAUAACACAUUUAAUCCCUAAUAUUUACACAUUCUAUCAAUUUGAUCCUCAAACAUAUAUAAUUAAAUAUAAAUAUGAUUAUAUUUAAACACAUAUAAUAAAAUCUUGAUAAACUUAAAUGUAAAUUUGUGAUUUUGACAAACCCAAAGACUAGAACACCUAAAAACUCAUUAAAUUUGUGAUUUUUAUAAACUUCAUUCAUGAUCGUGCUAAUAUCAUUUUCAAUUGAGAGACCCAAAUUUUUCUAUGAAACCUAACAAAUAAUUUAUAAAUAAAAAGAAAAAUGAAAAAACUUCCUAUAAGCCUUUUUCGAAUCAUCAUCUUUUACAUUCUUGUUAAUUUGAAUAAUUGAGCAAUAAUUUGCACCCAUCUCUACAUAUAAAAUUUGUUGUAAAAUUAAUCUUCAUCUAAUUUGUUUGCAAUUUAUUUAGAAAAAAGAUGUACAUUUUAUGGGUUUUUUACUUUUCUAAUUUGAAUUUUAGAUUUUUUUUGUAAUAUUUUUAAUUUUUUAGAUACAUAUAUUUUUAUAAUUUAUAUUUAAAAAAAUUAUAUAAUCUUUUAUGUAAUUACUUCUAAAAUUUUAAAUAUUUUAUAAAAAAAUAGAUGAUGACAUCAUCAAUGUCACGUAUCGCAACCAAAGAGAGCUAUGUGUCCUAUAUUUAACACUAUUAUAAAAAAGUACCAAAACUCUUGACAGAAUGAAAAUUCGGAUACCAACAUGGGACAAAAAAACAUAAGUACCAACUUGGGAGUAGGUGUCAAGUUCGGGGGGGGGGGGCGCUAAAUACAUAUUUGAGCAUUAUAAUUGUAAUUAAAUAUUGUAAUGACUCGAUUUUAGCCUGUGCCGAAAAAUUGAGUCAAUUUCGUAAAUCGAGUCAGUGAAAAUAUGAAUAGAAGGAUUUAAGAAGUUAGCAUGAAAAUAUAUUAAUAAAUGUUUAAUAAAUUAAAUACAGAAAAAAAUUAAUUAUAGUGUAGGGACUAAAUCGUAAAAGUUUAAUCACUAUUGAAUUUAAAAUUGGAAAAUGCAUAAGGACCCAAUUAAAAAUUAUGCAAAGGGCUUAAUAGUUAAUUAACCAUUAAAGUUUGUGAAUUAGUGGAUGAAAACAGUCUUUCUCAUCUAUUUCUAUUUACUUAGUUUAAACUAGAUAGAGAUUGUUAACCAGAAGUUAAUUAAAGUAAUUAAUUACCACUAUUUAUAUAUAUAGUUAGUUAGUUAGCGGGUGAGAGAAAACAAAAAAAUAAUGUCAUCUCCUACCUCUCAAACCGAAUAGAAAAGAGAAAAGAAGAUUAAGCUUCCUUCUUCAAAUUACGGUCCCAAUUAACUAAGGUAACCAAGUUAUUUUCACGAGAUUUUUAUAGAUGUUUUAUUAACUAAAUUUGAUCUAACAUACCCAAGCUUUAGGUUACUAAAUUGUUCAGUUUUGAAAAAAAAAUUCGGUUCGAAAACAAUUUUCUUGCACAAUAAAAAAUAAAAAUUUUAAAAACCGACCCGAUUUGUAAUAUUUAUAGCAAUAAAUCUUGGACUAAAUUCGUACAUGUAUUUUCGGAUAGGCGGAUCCUAAUCGUUCCUAACUUUUGACCAAACGAUCUUCUCCACUAUUCUCGUACCACAAACUACUUCGAGUGUGAGCUCGAACAAAUCAAAUCAAUCACAGAACCAAAAAUAUUUUCUUUACGUUGAGUGGGAAAAUAAAUCUCUCUUAAAUAGGAAAUAUUAUUUUGAUAGAAAAAAUCCAACUCCCUAUUAUUUAGGGAGAGGGCCAACAACCCUAGGUGGGAAUACUAAGGUUUGUCAUCCUAUAUAUUCCAUUUUAGGGGAGUUGAGCCUCUCCUGUACUAGGUCUAAUUAUAUGUGAUUCCUUGACUUUAACCUAGCACUUUAUAAUUUUUUCCAACCCACCUAAAUUAAAUAUAUUUAAUCAAUUAAUUUAUAUAAAUUAAUUUCUCAAUUAAAUAAUAUUCUCAACCCAAUUCUAAUUCCGUUAAAAUCAAGACAAAUUUACCGUAAAAGAAUUUGUGAGAAAAUAUAUUUAAAUUUUCUACAUUCAAAUGGAUUCACAAUGACUAGUUAACUUAAAUAACAAUAAGCACAUACUCAUCAUACAACAUAAUCUAUUUUAUUCACAUGAUCAUGGCAGUGCAAUUUUAGUAAAACAAUUGUAUGAAUUUAUAUAAAACAUCUUACCCAUCACCGUUACACUCCAAAAAGAGUUCCCAGGACUCAUCCAUCCAAACACUCUAAUAUGUGGACAAAGCCACCAAUAUUCGCAAACAAGCUGCCAUAUAGGUUGUGGAUAAAUCACCAUGUAGGUUGUAAACAAUGCUACCAAUAUUUGUAGACAAGCUGCGAUGUAGGUUGUGGACGAAGUCAUCAUGUAGGUUGUGGAUGAAGCCACAAAUUCUUCCUCCUUACAAUGUCCCACCCUAUGCAUGUGAUAUGGUUAUAAUGAACAUAUGUAAAGGUAUUUUCAUUUCAAGAUAUCAUUUGUCACAUUGGGUAUGUUGAAACAUGCAACUUGGAUAAUAUCAUGUAGGGCAUGUUUAACAUGUGAAUCGAAUUUACAUCAUAAAAAAUACUAUAUGCAUGCUUAAAAUACGAAUCAUAUCUCAAUUCCAAUAUCGGUGACAUGAUUUAUAUAUCAUGCCUAUCAUAGAAUGUCAACAUAUCACACAUCAUGAGAAAUGGGAAUGUACACAUAAUUUCACUACAUUCAUUAAAUCACAUCAAUUAUCACAUACGAUCAUAAAACAGUUAGUUCGAGGUACUUACUUGAGUAUCACCCUUUUUAUAGAUUUAGCAUCCCUAUUUGAAUACAUAGCGUGUUCUCAAUAUUUCAUAUUAUGGAGAUUUUUAACAAGGUUUAACUUUUAAAUAAAUAUAUAUUAUUUGACAAUAAAUCUCAUAUGUAAUUUUUCUAAUAAGUUAAACCCACACCUGAUAGUAGAUCCGAUGCGAUACACCACUCUAAAGAACGUCCACACUCCAAUCUUAACCAAUGGAAUAUCGAUAUGUUAUCAAAGUGAUUUUCUAUUAAAUCGUCUUUUUAAACAUAUUAUGAAAUUACUCACUUAAACUAAAUUGUCCAUCUCGAACUUACUCUCAUAAAUAAUUCGUAACGAUGAUUUAUAUUCUGAAAUUAGGAGCUUUCUGGAAUGGUAUCAAUCGACCCUUCAUCAAUAGUAGAAUACGAUGUGUUAAUACACGAAGGAAAUACACUAUAAUCCCUUGUAGACAUUCGACCUAAAGGAAAAAGUAGGGAAGAAAUAGUGGUUUUCAUCCCACUACAAUACUUACUCUAACUCGAAAUCUGAAGGGAUGUUGGACCACUGGGUCUUGAGUUGGAGAGGAAAUCGAGUCUAGAGAAAAAUCAUCAUUCAAGAAAGAGAUUAGACUAGAAUGUGAUAUGAAAAUAAUUUAAAAUUAAUGAAAAUAGGAGAAAUAUCAUUUUUUUCACUAAAAGGAAUGGUAGAUACUAGAAAAUGGUGAAGAAAAGAAAUGAAUCACCAAAGCCGGUGGAGGCAUGGCGGCGACGGCAACAAUCUGGCGAAAAUUUGACAGAGGAGGAGGGAAGAAGGGUGUUGCGGCACUAGAAGGAAGAAGGAGAAAAUAAAAAGGAAAAAAAUAGAAAAGUGGAGAGAAAGAUGAAAACUUUUUUCGAUGGUGGUGUAAGGUGGUUGCCACGGUGGUGAGUGGUGGUGCAAUGGGCAUCGUUGGAGCAAAAUGGAUGGGAUGAACGACAAUAAAGAGAAGGUCUGAUGGUGGUUCAAUUUGCAAUGAGUGGUGGAAGAGAAGAGAAGAACUAAAAGUAAAUAUGGUGGAAGGGUGGCCAAAACAAAUAAAAAUUGAAAGAAAAUAAGGAGGUAAGGAGAGGGACGACAAUGUGGAGGGGAGAGGGGAUAUAGGAGUAAGGAAAAAUGAAUCAAAAGGUGAAAAGUACUUGUCUAGGCACAAUGAAUUGGUUCACAUGGCAAGGAUGAAGGAAAGACAAGUUGAGGGGACAAAUGAGCAAAAAAGGGAUCACGUUUGUAAACUUGGCAAAAAAGGAAAGAAAUCCUCUUAUUGUGUGGUAACUUGUAUGGACGACAACAGGGGGUUGGCACAUGCUAAAAUUGUCAAAAAAAAUUAAAUAAAAAAAUUGCAAAAUGUGUAAACUUGAACCUAAGACCCUUAAGAUAUUAUUAAAGCUCUUAACCACUAGGCCAUUUAAUUCCUUGCUAUAAAAAUUAUUUUAAAAACAUGGUGUGACUUUUACUAAGGUUUGAAGUAAAUUUGCACCAAAUAUAUAAUAAUGAGAGGGAAGGGAUUCGAACUCAGAUAAUUAAGAACAACUUCACCACUACUAAAUCACUAUUUUUGAUACUUAUCUAUUGAUAAAUGUGCCAAGUUCAUCUAAAAAAAACUUAGGCUGUGAUGACCACUCUCGGUUCAUUAACCCAAUUUUUACUAACCUGGUUUUUGGGAUUUGACACCCCCAUUGUCAUGCAUAACAAAAAAAUCAUUAGAAGUUUUACAACAGAAAAUAUCCUCUAGUGUGGUCCUUGGUGAUUCCUUUACUUCUUCAAUGAUCCUAAGAAGGAAAGAUAACGAAGUAAGUUCAUAGAACUUAGCGAGUUCCAAAGUAGACACUAAAAUAACUAUACAUAAGAUGAACAAAUGAACCUUCCCAACUCAGUGAAACACUUAGUUCGCCCAUUGGCAAAUAUUAUACACAAGCAGACUUUAUACAAUUCGUCCAUUGGUGAAUAUUGAACUUAUCAUAUUAUGUUCUUCAAAAAAGUUAAACAAGUUUUUAAAAUACUAAAUCAGGAAAUCUAGAAUCUGAAAGUUUCCUCCCUUUUUCCUCCCCUUUUUCCUUCUAAACUGAUCCUAGAGCAUGAGAGCCUAAAACCCCUAUAAAUAGUUGUGAUAAUAGCUUAAGUUUCAUUGAUAUUUACCAGGUAUCAAACGUCGAUGGAGUUUUUUGAAUACAGUGAACCCAAACCUUCAAGCUAGCCUUAGUUCUAAAGCUUUCUUGGGUGUUGCAUAGGGAAAUUAGAGAGAAAAUAAAGUUUACGAAAGAAAGAACAAAGCUUGGUCUUAUAUCAAUACGCACUAAAGGAAAACUUAAUGGGCAAGAUUAUUCUCCCUACUACCCAUCUUUCGACAAUCGUGACUAAUAUAUUUUUCUCUCUUCUUAAAUGUAUGCCCAUAUCUGGUCUCAUUCUAACUAACCUUCUCCAGGUCAACUAUAUAGUUCAACCAAAAUGAUAAACAAUACUAAGAAAUAAGUACUACCGUCUAUAAGCUGGGGUGGCUAACACUCUGUAAAGGAGCUUCACCAAUCACCAAGCUUACCUUCACAUGGACUUCGCCUGAGAGCAUAAUCAUAGUCUUCAAGCACUUAACAAGUUCAUAACAUUUUAUUUGUUUAGAAUUUAUUCUAUAAGCCUAUCUCCAUAAACAGUACUCAAAUGCCCUAGACUACGCUAGGCGAAAUUUACAACUCUCCCUCACUUAGCAAAUUUUGUCUCUAAAAUUCAUACCUGAAUGUAAUUGUGGAUACUGUCCUCUCAUCACGCUCUCCCUUUCCCAAGUGGCUUCUUCAAUGUUGUUAUUUCUCCAUAGUACUUUUACUAAAGGAAUUCUUUUAUUCCUCAACUCUUUAACCUCUUUAGCCAAAUUACGGAUCGACUUUUCCUUGUAAGAUAGAAUUAGCUCCAUUUUAAGCUCUUAAAUUUGUACUAUGUGCUUAAGGUUGGAUCUAUACCUACACAGCAUCGAUACGUGGAACACAUCAUGAAUCUUUGAUAACUCAAGAGGCAAUGCCAACCUAUAUGCCAUUGGCCAAACCUUGUCCAAAAUCUCAUAUGGUCCUAUAAAUUUGGGGCUUAGCUUCCCUUUUUGACCGAAAUGUAUAAUCCUCUUCUAAGGGGAGACCUUUAGGAAUACCUUAUCUCCUACCUCAAAGGAUAUUUCUUUCAUCGUUAAGUCGGUAUAGGACUUUUGCUGAUCCUGAGUAGCUUUCAAGUGAUAACGAAUGAUCACAAUUUUUUCUUUUGUUUUGGGUACUAUGUUUGGUCCCACAAUUUUUCUUUCGUUUAGCUCUGUCCAGUAAGCAAGCGUUCUACACCUUCCACCAUAUAGAGCUUCAAAGGGAGACACUUUUAAACUAGCAUUGUAGCUAUUGUUGUAGGCGAAUUCCAUCAGGGGAACAUACUUUUCCCAGUUUAUCUCGAAAUUGAUCACACAACAGUGUAUCGUGUUUUCUACUACUUGAAUCACUUUUUUAUAUUGUUCAUUUGUCUGAGGAUGGAAUGUAAUGCUAAAUCUCAGUUUGGUUCCUAGUGAUUUUUGUAAUUGUUGCCAAAAUCUCGAAGUAAGCCUCAGAUCUCUAUUAGACACAAUAGACUAUGGCACUCCUUGUAAGCGUACCACUUUAGUGAUAUAUAAUUCAGUCAAUUUUUCCAAAGAAUAUGUCAUAUUCACAGGCAGGAAAUGUGUUAGCUUUGUGAGCCGAUCUAUUACCACCCAAAGAGAAUUCUUCUUGGAGGGACUAAGGGGUAAUCUAAAAACAAAGUCCAUAGUGAUCCUAUCCCAUUUCCACUUAGGGAUUUUCAAAGGGUACAACUUACCCGAAGGAACUUGAUGCUUCACCUUUACUCUUUGGCAUGUCAGACAUGUGGAAACAUACUUUGAGAUUUCCUUCUUCAUACCAAAUCAUCAGUAAGAGUCUCUCAAAUCUCUAUACAUUUUGGCGCCACCAGGGUAAAGCAAAAAAGGCCAUUGGUAAGCUUCCCUCAAUAAUUCCUUUCUCAAAUCAUUUCCCACCGGUACAAAUACUCAGUUCAUAAAUCUGAGUUCACCAUUCUUACCCAUACUAAAGUGCAUUGCUUUGCCUGACAACAUCUUUUUCUUGUAUCUUUCACACUGGACAUUCUUUCUUUGUCCCUUUAGAAUUUCCGAGAGAUGGGUUGGCUUUACUACCAACUUUGCCAUUAAUGCUUCAUUAUCAGCCAUUGUCACUUUAACUCGUAGGGACAGAAAAA
rnacentral:lncRNA from 1 species